rnacentral:rRNA from 1 species
UCCUACGGGAGGCAGCAGUAGGGAAUAUUGGUCAAUGGGUGAGACUGACCAGCCAUGCCGCGUGCAGGAAGACGGCUGUUAACUGCUUUUUCCAGGGGAUAAAAUACCCGUGCGCGGGGAAUUGAAGGUACUGGUGAUAAGCCACGGCUAACUACGUGCCAGCAGCCGCGGUAAUACGUAGGUGGCAGCGUUGUCCGGAUUUAUUGGGUUUAAAGGGUGCGUAGGGGCCCUGUAAGUCAGUGGUGAAAUACGGCAGCUCAACUGUCGAGGUGCCAUUGAUACUGCAGGGCAGAGUACUGAUGAGGUAGGCGGAAUGGACGGUGUAGCGGUGAAAUGCUUAGAUAUCGUCCAGAACACCGAUAGCGAAGGCAGCUUACUAAGGAGUAACUGACGCUGAGGCACGAAAGUGUGGGGAUCAAACAGGAUUAGAUACCCUGGUAGUCCACACUGUAAACGAUGAUCACUAGAUGUUGGCGAUACACUGCCAGCGUUCCAGCAAAAGCGAUAAGUGAUCCACCUGGGGAGUACGCCCGCAAGGGUGAAACUCAAAGGAAUCGGGUCCGCACAAGCGGUGGAGCAUGUGGUUUAAUUCGAUAUACAGGAACCUUACCUGGGCUAGAAUGCCUUUGACCGAUC